UAAUACAUCGGAACGUGUCCCGUAGUGGGGGAUAGCCCGGCGAAAGCCGGAUUAAUACCGCAUAUGCUCUACGGAGGAAAGUGGGGGAUCGCAAGGCCUCACGCUAUGGGAGCGGCCGAUGUCCGAUUAGCUAGUUGGUAGGGUAAUGGCCUACCAAGGCGACGAUCGGUAGCUGGUCUGAGAGGAUGAUCAGCCACACUGGGACUGAGACACGGCCCAG
rnacentral:rRNA from 1 species